rnacentral:rRNA from 1 species
AGCUGGAAUCGCUAGUAAUGGCAGGUCAGCAUACUGCCGUGAAUACGUCCCCGGGCCUUGUACACACCGCCCGUCACACCAUGAGAGUUGGGAAUACCCGAAGCCUGUGAGCUAACGUAAGAGGCAGCAGUCGAAGGUAGAAUCAAUGAUUGGGGUGAAGUCGUAACAAGGUAGC